GCCAUGGUGGUGUAGUGGUUUGAACAUUGGACUACAACUCUAGAGACCAGGGUUCAAAACCCUACUUGGUCA